AUUGAACGCUGGCGGCAGGCCUAACACAUGCAAGUCGAGCGGUUGAAGCGAGCUUGCUCCUGGUUUCAGCGUCGGACGGGUGUGUAUUGCCUAGGAAUCUGCCUGGUCGUGGUGUAUAACGUCCGCUAACGGGCGCUUCUACCGCAUACGUCCUUAUGGAGAAUGUUGUGUAUCUUCUGACCUCACGCUAUCUCAUGUGUCUAGGUCGGAUUAGCUAGUUUGUUGGGUAAAGUCCUACGAAGGCGACCAUCCGUAACUGGUCUGAGAGGAUGAUCAGUCACACUGGAAGUGAGACAGGGACCAGAGGACUAAGGGAGGGAGCAGUGGGGAAUAUUGGACAAUGGGGGAAAGCAUGAUACAGCGAUGGCACGUGUGUGAAGAAGGAGUUCGGAUAGUAAAGAAGGUUAAGGGGGGAGGAAGGGCAGUAAGAUAAGAAGAAGCGGUAGUGACGGUACCAACAGAAAAAGCACCGGCUAACUACGUG
rnacentral:rRNA from 1 species